rnacentral:rRNA from 1 species
GAUGAACGCUGGCGGCGUGCCUAAUACAUGCAAGUCGAGCGAACAGACGAGGAGCUUGCUCCUCUGACGUUAGCGGCGGACGGGUGAGUAACACGUGGAUAACCUACCUAUAAGACUGGGAUAACUUCGGGAAACCGGAGCUAAUACCGGAUAAUAUAUUGAACCGCAUGGUUCAAUAGUGAAAGACGGUUUUGCUGUCACUUAUAGAUGGAUCCGCGCCGCAUUAGCUAGUUGGUAAGGUAACGGCUUACCAAGGCGACGAUGCGUAGCCGACCUGAGAGGGUGAUCGGCCACACUGGAACUGAGACACGGUCCAGACUCCUACGGGAGGCAGCAGUAGGGAAUCUUCCGCAAUGGGCGAAAGCCUGACGGAGCAACGCCGCGUGAGUGAUGAAGGUCUUCGGAUCGUAAAACUCUGUUAUUAGGGAAGAACAAAUGUGUGAGUAACUAUGCACGUCUUGACGGUACCUAAUCAGAAAGCCACGGCUAACUACGUG